ACGGCACACACAUCUUGGCCGCGCAAGCAACUCCACUUUUCUCCCCCAACCACCCCGGCAGGUGAGGACUGAGGAGGCGAUCUCAUUUGCUGCAGAUUUUCCUGCAUCCGGAGUUGUUGAGGGGGCCCUCUUUACAUAUUUUAGGUCGCCAAAAUCUUCUAAUUAGUCGAGUCACAGGCCAAAUCAAUCUUAUAUAUUACACUCCAAGGCCAUAGGCCAAGCUCGGUACAAGCAGCUGGACUUGGUGUAGGUCUACUGUAUCAAAGAGAAGUUAUUGGCAUGGAAGAGAAGCUGAUCCUCCUAAGAAAUAUAGGUGAGCUCUGGAACUCGGUCAGGUAUUUGCAUAUACUCCGUCCAUUUUUUUUAUGUCGUAUAAUCCUCUGGUGCACAGACCAAGAAGAUGGUUAAUUGUGAGUCCAAGUGCUCCGCGCUUUUCUUGCUCUGUACUAACUAUUGUGCUGAAGCCUCUUGGCUUUCACUCUUCUUAUUAAUACAAUGGGCAGCUCUCCUGCCGGUUCCAUUUCAAAAAGAAAAGGCGCAGGCAUGCAGCCCGUCCGUUAACCUCCGCAUGCCGCGCGCUCCUUCCGCUCCGCCGCCGGCGCGCACGACGCCGCAGCGCUUGCUGUCGGCGGAGUCGUCGUACUCCCGGUGCCAUGCUCCUCGCUCUCGAAAGAAUCCGGCACAUAGUCCACGCCAUGCACGAGCUUGCUUCCUCCUUCCGCUCCACCGCCGGCACGCACGACGCCACCGCGCCCGCACUCGCCAUCGAGCUCCGCUGUGUUUCGAAUUGAGAAAUCUGCCAUCGCUAGUUUGCGGGCAGGAUGCAAAUUGCACGUAGUUUGCUGCUCAGCCCCGCACUCGCCAUUGAUUCAAUUUGCAUUCCAUGCCGAUUCAUUUCUCCGCAGAAUCGAGGCUUGUACAUGCAGUGCUUAACUGCAUCGGUUUUAAUUUUCUCCAAGAUCAAAGAGCGGACCAAUUUAUGACAUGUUUUCCGUCGUUUUUAGAAAAAUUAUAUGACACCUGAGGGAGUAGAAAGUAGCAUACUUAUAUUUUGGUAUUUUACCAAAAAGUGGCACCUCCCAUGUACUCUCUAGAUGGAUAGGAAAAAUUGUUCUUUCAGUGUCCAGUUAUGGUUGAGUUAGGACAUGUAUAUUGCCUUGAACCUCUACGCUAUGUUUUUUGUCCACGAACAUAACACUCCCCAAGGGCCAAGGCUCCUUGGUUAAACAUUCAACUUCGAGUAACUGCUGCUACCAA